rnacentral:misc_RNA from 1 species
GUUAUCUUCCGAAAAAAGGCUAAAAUUACAAGAAAGAUUGUACUAAGGUUAGAAUGCACAGAAUGUAAAUACAGAAAACAACUGGCCAUUAAAAGAUGUAAGCACUUCGAGUUGGGAGGAGAAAAGAAGAGAAAGGGACAGAUGAUUAUGUUCUAAAGUGGUUGGUGUAUUCUGUGCUGUAAAUAAAUG